CCUACGGGAGGCAGCAGUGGGGAAUAUUGGGCAAUGGGCGCAAGCCUGACCCAGCAACGCCGCGUGAAGGAAGAAGGCUUUCGGGUUGUAAACUUCUUUUCUGAGGGACGAAGAAAGUGACGGUACCUCAGGAAUAAGCCACGGCUAACUACGUGCCAGCAGCCGCGGUAAUACGUAGUUGGCAAGCGUUAUCCGGAUUUAUGGGGUGUAAAGGGCGUGUAGGCGGGAAAGCAAGUCAGAUGGGAAAACUCAGGGCUCAACCCUGAGCCUGCAUUUGAAAAUGUUGUUCUUGAGUGCUGGAGAGGCAAUCGGAAUUCCGGGGGUAGCGGUGAAAUGCGUAGAUAUACGGAGGAACACCAGUGGCGAAGGCGGAUUGCUGGACAGUAACUGACGCUGAGGCGCGAAAGCGUGGGGAGCAAACAGGAUUAGAUACCCGAGUAGUC
rnacentral:rRNA from 1 species